rnacentral:rRNA from 1 species
GAUGAACGCUAGCGGCAGGCCUAACACAUGCAAGUCGAGGGGCAGCAUAAAAAUUCAGCAAUGAGUUUUGGUGGCGACCGGCGGACGGGUGCGUAACGCGUAUGCAACCUACCUUUAACAGGGGGAUAACGGAGAGAAAUUUCCACUAAUACCCCAUAAUAUCAGAAGAGGCAUCUCUUUCGGUUGAAAUCUCCGGAGGUUAAAGAUGGGCAUGCGUUGUAUUAGGUAGUUGGUGGGGUAAUGGCUCACCAAGCCUACGAUACAUAGGGGGACUGAGACGUUAGCCCCCCCACACUGGUACUGAGACACGGACCAGACUCCUACGGGAGGCAGCAGUGUGGAAGAUUGGUCAAUGGGGGCAACCCUGAACCAGCCAUGCCGCGUGCAGGAAGACGGCUCUAUGAGUUGUAAACUGCUUUUGUACAGGGAUAAAUCGGGGAACGUGUUCCCCGUUGAAGGUACUGUAUGAAUAAGGAUCGGCUAACUCCGUGCCAGCCGCCGCAGUAA